UUGAGAGUAUAGCUCAAUUGAUAGAGCACCAGACUUUUAAUCUGUAGCGUUCGGGUUUGAGUCCCGAUGCUCUCAA
rnacentral:tRNA from 1 species